AGGUGUACAGGCUGGAUAAGGUAUCUCAGGUCAAUGCAAAGGUGUGUUUCAAGGCUCAGAGAAGUGAGAGAAUGUGUGGGGUUUGUCUAAUUUACUAGAGAGGGGAUAGGUAAAUAGAGAGGGUGAGGUUUGAAUGCCAUAGGGUCCACUGGAGGUGUUGAAACUCCCCUUCUUUUCUCUAGGUUUUGGAGAAUUGCACUCAUGUGCUUAUAAUACACACUUAAACUUUGCUUUCUUUUUAAAAAUGCUUUCUGUUCAUCACUGUUUGGGCUCCUUCUGACAGAAGUCAUUAUUAGAGAUUCAGACCUUUACUUACUCAAUUCCCUGUUGUGGUUUUGUAAAGAAGGCUUUCUUGUUCCUCUCAAAAAACAGACAUGCCUGUGAAGGUGAGUUACACUUCCAUUCUCUUAAGUUUAUAGUAACAAAGACAUUUCAUGAAGUGCUAAAAGACAGCCAGUAUUUAGAAAGUACUUUGUGACUUUUGAGGGUUAUGAGAUGCUGAAUGUGAGACACUGUAGCAGGUUGCGUAGGGGAAUUGAAAACAAUAUUCUUCUCCAGAGAAAUCAGAAAACCAGGUCAAUGCCUCCUUGCAUAGUCCUGCUGGAAGACAAGAAUUAAGGCUGAAUACAUUGUCAAGGUCAUUUCAGAUCCUAUUAUUCUGCUUCUCUGGUGAUAAUGAUAAUAAAAAUAGCACUUUUUAUUUGUGACUCACACAAUUUUCAGAACUCUUUACCCUAUGAUCGCCUCUGAACAGCUAAUGAGGAAUUCAUGCCAUCAACCUGGAGGACAACUUGGAGGACCAAGUGCUCCCAGCCAGACCUCAAGGUUAAAAAGGAUUUCAAAUGGGAGCCUUGGCAGGAAGCGUAUUUCACAUUGAUCCACUGCACCUGGCUCAUCAACUUUCCUCACAUGGCAAAGGAUCCAAAUCUUUGGAUGUCAAUGGGUUGAAUGUUGGGAAAGACAGGCAAUGACAUGGGACAGCCACCCUCCUUCUCUUUUUGGUCAUGUGUGAACUUAGGUAAGUUGCUGAGCUGUUCUGUCAGUACUAUUAUACCAAUCGAGAAGGUCUUGACUGCGGAGAUGUUUGAC
rnacentral:lncRNA from 1 species